GCAGAACGCGAAGAACCUUACCAGGGUUUGACAUCCCAAGAAUUAUGCCGAAAGGCGUGAGUGCUUUAUUGAACUUGGUGACAGGUGAUGCAUGGCCGUCGUCAGCUCGUGUCGUGAGAUGUUUGGUUAAGUCCAUCAACGAGCGCAACCCUUGUGAAUAGUUGAAUUUUUUCUAUUCAGACUGCCCCGGCAACGGGGAGGAAGGAGGGGAUGAUGUCAGGUCAGUAUGGCCCUUACGCCUAGGGCUGCACACGUACUACAAUGCCCAGCACAAUGAGAACCGAUACCGCGAGGUGGAGGAAAUCUGCAAAACUGGGCCCAGUUCGGAUUGGAGGCUGCAACUCGCCUCCAUGAAGUUGGAAUCGCUAGUAAUGGCGCAUCAUCUACGGCGCCGUGAAUACGUUCCCGGGUCUUGUACACACCG
rnacentral:rRNA from 1 species